rnacentral:rRNA from 1 species
CGGUGUUUAACUGGCGUGAUGUGGGACGUCCUACCGGUGGGCUUAGCCUCGCGAGGGGCGGCCCAACUAAUAUCCCGUCGCGGUGCUCUUUACUGAGUGUCGAGUCGGGCCGGUACGUUUACUUUGAACAAAUUAGAGUGCUUAAAGCAGGCUAUCCUCGCCUGAAUACUGCGUGCAUGGAAUAAUGGAAUAGGACCUCGGUUCUAUUUUGUUGGUUUUCGGAACCCCGAGGUAAUGAUUAAUAGGGACAGAUGGGGGCAUUCGUAUUGCGACGUUAGAGGUGAAAUUCUUGGAUCGUCGCAAGACGGACAGAAGCGAAAGCAUUUGCCAAAAAUGUUUUCAUUAAUCAAGAACGAAAGUUAGAGGUUCGAGGGCGAUCAGAUACCGCCCUAGUUCUAACCAUAAACGAUGCCAGCUAGCGAUCCGCCGAAGUUCCUCCGAUGACUCGGCGGGCAGCUUCCGGGAAACCAAAGCUUUUGGGUUCCGGGGGAAGUAUGGUUGCAAAGCUGAAACUUAAAGGAAUUGACGGAAGGGCACCACCAGGAGUGGAGCCUGCGGCUUAAUUUGACUCAACACGGGAAACCUCACCAGGCCCAGACACCGGAAGGAUUGACAGAUUGAUAGCUCUUUCUUGAUUCGGUGGGUGGUGGUGCAUGGCCGUUCUUAGUUGGUGGAGCGAUUUGUCUGGUUAAUUCCGAUAACGAACGAGACUCUAGCCUGCUAAAUAGGCGUACCUUAUGGUAUCGCGAAGGCCCCCGGCUUCGGCCGGUGGGUUUUUACUACCAACGUACAAACAAAUCUUCUUAGAGGGACAGGCGG